rnacentral:rRNA from 1 species
AUGGCAGAGCAAUGCAAGAUUUCUGCUGCCAUGGUAUCUGAGGAAAGGUCGUACGUGCUCAAGGUAGAUGGAUACUCCAGAGCCAAAGCUCUACUCAAGAGCGGCCAGUGCGUGAAUUCUGACCUUUUCAGUGUUGGAGGCCACGACUGGGCCGUGGGAUAUUACCCAAACGGUGACGAUGAUGAUUGUACCGAUUUCAUAUCUCUUUUUCUAAGUUUUGAAUCUGCCGUCGCUGAAGAUGUGAAGGCGAAAUUCACGUUCAGUGUACUUGACGAGAAUGGAGAACCGGUGCCUUCAUACAGCCAUACGUUCCCUUUGGAUACCUUCUUAAGCAAAGGUGAUAACUUGGGUUGCCGUAACUUCAUCAAGAAGGCUGAUCUGGAGGCAUCGGCGCAUAUAAGAGACGACAGUCUUACCAUCAAGUGCGAUCUCACCGUCAUCCACGACGAAGAAACAAUUGUUCCUCCAAGCAACCUGCACCAGCAUCUUGGUGACCUCCUAAACAGCAAGGAUGCAGCAGACCUAACCUUUCAGGUCGGUGGACAGAGUUUCUCGGCCCAUAGAUGUGUCCUCGCUGCUCGGUCAUCAGUCUUCAAGGUGGAGCUCCUCGGCCCCAUGGAGGAGAGUUAUGCAGCUAGCCCUAUUGAAAUCCGUGACAUGGAAGCAGAUGUGUUCAAGUCGUUGCUCCAUUUCAUAUACACCGACACAGUUGCUCCUGUGCUGGAUGUGGUGAUGGCCGGCCAUCUACUUGUUGCGGCUGACAGAUACAACAUUGGCAAGCUGAAGAUGAUAUGCGAGGAGAAAUUGUGCAGUCACAUUGAUUCCGGCAUGGUGGCAACUAGUUUGGCAUUGGCCGAGCAGCAUGGUUUCCAUGCUCUCAAAAAAGCUUGUUUAAAGUUCCUUGCUUCUCCGUCCAAUUUGGAGGCGAUGAUGGUGAGUGAUGGGUAUGAGCAUCUGAAAUCUAGUUGCCCAUAUGUUUUCAAGGAGCUUGUAGCUGGAAUCCUCCCGGCUGAACUGAAAGCAGCAAAGGAUAUUAUCAUGACAAUGUGGAGGUAA